ensembl:lncRNA
GUCACGACGGGGGGGGGGGACGUUACGACGGAGGGUGGCGGAACAUUACGACGGCCGACGGAUGGCGGGUGGCGCGGACGGCACGGCCGUCGGGGGGCUGCAAAAUGAAUCGAUAUUUAAAAAAAGACAGGGCCAGCCUCCCAUCCCUCAUCUCUCACACUAGCAAAGUCAUCCGGCAAAUUCCAAAUAAAUCCGGCGGGGCCGUCCACACACACCGGCUGCCCAUCCAGUGCGGCCCGCCGCGCGUUUAACGCGUGUGAAAUAGAGGGAUACACUAACAAAACAGUAAAACUGUACUGUAAAUCUGUAAAUCUACGGUGCAUUUCUAACGGUAUCUUACAGUAUGUCAUAAUAACUGUAACAUACAGUUACAUUUCCAUCCUUUGCUUGUAAAUUAACGGCCAAUAUCACGAAUUAAUGUGUAUGUGUAAAGGCAUCAAAUAAACUCCAACCACUAUGACCGAAAUGAGUUUGGUUGUCCUUCUUUAAUUUGUGGGCAAUUAAAUGCAAAAGUAUACAGUUAUAAGUAAACGGUAACAUUCUGGUAUUUAUAACACAAAAACAGUAAUCAUAUGGUAACAAACUGUAAUCCAAUAUACAACAACAUACCGUAUAUUACGGUAGGGCACUGUAAAUAAAACAAGUUACUAGCGUCGACUGCCAGUAAAUUGCAGUUAAUUCACAGUAAAAUUGGUUCAAGUUUACGGUAACAUACAGUAAUCCAUUUUACGGUAACAUAAUGUAAAAACCAUUUCCGGUAUUAUACCAUAAAAUAACGGUAAAUUCCUGGCUUCCUUCCUGCCUGUAAAAUACCGUUAAUUUACGGUGACAUUUUUUAGAGUGUAGAGUUGUGCUCACAUGCCCACAAAACGUUUUAAGAAUUGGACAGCUUUUUAGAAUAUAUAUAUAUAUAUAUAUAUAUAUAUAUAUUCUAAUAUAUAUAUACCACUCUUUGAGCUCUAGUUUGUCCUGCCAGGAUUUUAAACCUGGGCGUGGAUGCAGUCAGGGUCUGUCCUAGUUACGUGGAGGUACUUAUUGUGCCUCGUAAUGGCGUUUCACAUAUAGGUCACUUUCAAUAAUUACCGGUGUUGGUGCACCUGCUGUUUCUUCUUCUCCCACAUGAUUCUCUUUCCUUUUAAUGUAAUUUCUUUCCACUUUACGUCAUGUCCGUGAGUCAGACAUGAUUCUAUUUGUAAUCAUUAAUCUGCAAAAAAUAUAAAAUUCAUUUUAAAGAGAGGUUUUGGUAUAACCUUGUAAGAAGGUGUACGAACUGCAAUGGGGGCAAGAGUGGGUUGUUUGAAUUAAACAUAGUAGACUAAGCUCUGUCUGAAGAGAACCUUAGACACAUCAAGGACCUUUAACCUCUGCUCUGGUCACAUUCAAUUCAGUUUGCAUAGUGUGACACAAAGUGUAAUAAAAAGUAUAAUAUUGGCCUCAGUCUAAUCUCUGAAUAUUACCAAAGUGGACUUUCAUACAUUCAAAUAUGUCCAUCACCAUCAUGAUGAAGCCAUACCAAGGUUUCACCUCAUUUCUCCGUCUCUCUCCCUCACUAUCAUCCAUCUCUAUCUCUCUCGCCCUCCUCCUCUCUCCUUUUGUUUGUGUCCUUUGCCCACUGCGGUGGUCUCUGGUUUCCUUAAUGGUUCCCAAGAUGCAUUGUGGCUUUGUGGGAGCGGUAAAGCGCAAGGGAAUGCGUUUGUGCGAAUGUGUGCGAAAUUGAGAGAGAGUCUGUGUGUGAGUGUGUGUGAGAGAGAGAGAGUGUGUGUGUGGGCUGCGAGAGGUGAUGCGGUCAUUUCGACACAUGAGAGGUUUUCCAUCAGCAGCUAGAGGCUGAGCGAGCCGCUUCAAAGGCACUUACACACACACACACAUACACACACACACACAUUUUCAUGGACGCACUCAAAAUAAGUAAAUUUACACAUUAGGAUGCUCUGUGCUGUUAAAUUGUAUUGAGUCCAAGACAUACAUUUUUUUGUUUUAUCGUCUUGUUUUAGUGUUAUAACCGAUCCUGUGUUUUAUCGCUGGUUAGGACUUCACCGUGUUAUGUACAUGUUGUUUCCUUCAAUUAAGAGACGUUUGAGUAGCUCAAAAAUAACCCAAGUUAAUAAGCACCAAUGCUGAUUCAUGACCUGGCUCAGUACGCCCUGGCACUGUGUUCAUAUGGGAGGAUUCCACAGCGCUACGCUAGUGUCCCCACUGAGUCGCUUCCAGUAGCAAUGCAGCAACUAUGUGUGUGUCUAUAGGCGUAAAUAAAUACAUAAACUCAAAGCUCUUCAACACCACAUGGCAUCAAUCACUCAUUCAUACCAUGAAUCAUGACAGUUACCACCCAUCCGUAACUAAACAUUCACACACCAGCUACCGUGGUCACAGCUACGGGAGCACUUUUGGAUUGAAUUUACAUGUCUUCCCCACGGAGCUGGGGAUCGAACAGCCGCUCCUCUGAAUGAAGGAUGGCCGUGCUCCACCACUGAGUCACAGUCGCCCCUGACCUUUUGCCGUUAUUAUUCUGUUAACGCAGAAUAGGACAGUGCUAAGUCAGGUGAUGUAGUAUAAAGAGCUGCUAACAGCUCCAACAAACACAGGACUCUCACCCUGGAGACAGAAAUCCUGUCCUGUGUAAAACCAUUUUUUUAUUUUGCCACACAUUAAAAUGCUUAUUUUAACCCAAACUACAAGACCUAACCAAGUAGUUUCUUUGCAUGAACAGGUUCUGAUCUCCUUUGCUAAGACGGAUGCUUCUUUUAAAAAGAUCAUGCUGUUGCAUGAGGGUGCAUUGACACAAGGAAUACGUUUUUUAGGAAAACACGCACACUUUUGAAUUCGAAAUCACUUUGGAAUUAAAGAGCUGAUCAUAACUUUCCGACCUUGAUUCAUAUGCUUUUUUGGAGAUCAAGUUUGUUUAUUCAUUGUAAUAUUCCAAACAGCGAGGCCUUUACAACUCUUGAAUUUCAGGCCAGAUUAGACAGUUGACCUCAGGUGACCUUUGGACACACAUCAGCUUGCUAUCCCUUUCUGUCACAACAAACGCAGCACUUCUGGGAAAAUUAUACCGAUUCAGCAUUAUUGCAAAGCAGACAUCCUCAGAGUUCAACGUGUUAGUUGGACUGUGUGUGUGUGUGUGAGAGACACGGCUCAAUAUGUUUGCUCAAACUAAUUAAAGGCCGGUCGGUGGCGAUGGCGACGAUGGAUGUGUUUUUAAUGAUGUGAGCGGCAGCAAAUAUGCAAAACGCCCCGGAGACUUGAUUACCUCAUCGAUUUUCAUCUUAUGUGGCAUCAAAUGUGAAUAAAAAUUCACAUAUUAGUAGGUGAAGGGGAUGGGGGGGGCUGCAGUGGAGGUCCAACAGAUGCAAAGGUGUGUGCAAUGAACCGCGGGCUUAUCAUCUUUCUACCAUCAUAGGAACUUUUUUCUUCGUAAAACUUUUCUCUCUGACUUCAGACGUGACCUCUGGUGGAGCUGAGGUGAACUCUACUCCUGCAGCGUGGGUGUGUUAGCGAGUGGUGGCUCGUCUCACGUUGAAGGACAAUCUGUUGUCCCACAGGCUACCCUAGUGGUCCUCUGGCAGACAGUAGAGGGCCCUCUACUGAUUGGGCCCCCCUGGCUCCACCUUCCUACAGCUGACAUCCAUCUUCUAGAGGCCUCACACCGUCAUUUGGUUGGAGGUAACCUUGUUUUAAUACAUUUUCAGUUAAAUAUCUCACAGGGACUGUCUCAUACCUAAACGUCUUAGUGACAACUCAAUGUGGCCCACAGGGUUGCUCAUUCUGUUGUGUCUCUGACUCCGAGGGUCUGCGUUACAAGCUUUAGCUGUCAGGAUUGGAUGAUGGGGGCAUUCACCAGAUAGAGGGGGGCUCGUAAAAAGAGCUUCUAGCUGCAUUUUGGAGGAAAUUUUUGGAGGUGUUUUGGAGGAAAACACAACUCAAUUUUAUCUAUUUAGGACAAUUGUCAUGUAGUUAGUAUACUGCAUAUGAGAACAUUAUAUGAACGAUAUUUUAAAGAUAUUAAAAAGAAUGUUAGAAAAAUUAAUUUUCAUUCAUUUACUUUUGAUUUUAAGUUCAAAGUAGACCAAAAUAUGCAUAUUCACUUUUAUAUACACACAUAUAUAUAUAUACAUACACACACACACACACACACACACAGGUUUAUUCUCUAUAUAUACAGUAUUUAAAUAUCCAUGUCUCUUUCACUGUUCUCCCGCAUGUCCUCUCUUACUUAUUCACUCUCCCCCCUUCUCUACCAUGCCAGGUAAUUUGAUGCUGAAAUAUGUAUCUAACGAUAUUUAAUAAAUUAUGUAUCUGUUAUUUACUAAUGGCCCUAUCGACUGCAGAACCCGCUGCCUGAUAGGGAGACAGAGAGAGGGAGGGGGAGAUAGCGAAGGGAGAGAGAGAAAGACAAGCCUUAAAAGGGUUCCAGUUGUCCCUGGGGGAGGGGUGGGUGGACGGACAGGGGGGGACAGGAGUGAUGCCAUCAGUCUCUCGGUCUUCACUCCCUCCUCCAUGUGAGGACAGACAGUAUUGCAAUCAGAAACACUGCUGUAAGUUGUGCUCUGAGAAAAGUUCACCCUGGGGUCCAGUAAAAGUGGUGUCCAAGCAGCUAAUCUAAUACUAAAAUUCGCUCAGUGCUUAAUGUGCAUUGAAAAAAUAGAAACUCCAUAUAACGGAUCUCGGUACGGAGAAGUCAAAUUCAAAUUCCUGUAUUUUUCGAUUUCUAAAUCUUCUGGCAGUGUCGUACCGGUCCCAAGGUCAUUGGGACCAGAAUGUAAACGAGAACAAAAAAGAUUUCAUAGUGACAGCUGUGAAAAAACGUCAACAAAAAGUCAUCAAGAAAGCUCUUUUUGUGUGAACAAAGCGAGGCAUCAAUUGUUCCAGAGAAAUCAUCAUUGGAAACGAUUACAAAUGCAACCGUUACGGCUGGAGUCUGUGUUUCGUGUGUGUAUUUGUAUGUGUGUGGGUAUUUCUUAUCAGCAUUGGCUUCAAAGCUCUGUGGCACCGAACCUGGGAUCAAUGGGCCUAGACCAGCAGACGCAGAGCUGGGGCGGGUGUGUACUGGAUGUCAGUGUGUGUGUGUGUGUGUGUGUGUGUCUGUGUCUACUGUUCCGCACUUCUUGUGUAUAUCCAAGUGUGCAUCUGUACAUCACUGUUUGUCUUUAAAUAAUAAAGUAUGUGUGUGUGUGUGUGUGUGUGUGUGUGUGUGUGUGUGUGUGAUCUUAGUGGAGCCAGUAUGUGACCAGAUAAUGUUGCAUAUCGGACCAAUUGGAGAGACCUCAACCAAUACACAUCUCAAGUGCAUGACAGCGCAGACGUGUCUCUUUGUGUGUGUGCGUGUGUGUGUGUGUGUGUGUGUGUGUGUGUGUGUGUGUGCGUGUUGGUCAAUAUAUUUGAUUGUUCCAGGAGUUGUAUUAGUGGAAAAACAACAGCGCAGAAUUUAUUAGAGUAGCGGCAGACACAGAGACAUGCUGUCUGUGGUUGCGCGCACACACACACACACACACACACGCGUGUCUUUGUGCUGCUGUUGUUUUGUGUUGUUUGCCCUUCAUCCUGCAUCAUAUAACUGUCAGUGCUCACAAUAGGCACACAUUCAGAGUUAUUCUCUUCUUCCUGUGUGAACCGAAUGGGUUGAGGAGCUCACUGCACUCAGCCCAGAUAUGGAAAAAACACAUUUACAUCAAUGCACAAGUAAAAACGUAGACUAGAGCUUCAAGAUACGCGCAGGCCGGAAAAAAGCCCCAAAUGGUUUUUAUGGUUACAGAUAUCUACAACCAACAUUUCCACGAUCUCUGUGGUUGAUUCAUUCAUGCUUCAGGCUUCGUUAUUGACAUUCUAUCUAAAGAGAAUUUCAUUGUAUGUUUCUUCGUUGUAAAUAUAACAUUAUGUGAGAUUGGAAUUCUUACUAGUGACAAUUGUUGAAACGUCCCGUUAAAAUAUUUUUAUAAGAAUUAAUUGUGUGUACUUUGAAAACCAGUGUCAACUUCUGUAUAUGACAUUCGUUUCUAAUAACUAACUUUAGACAAAACUAUUCAGCCAUCACUGUUUGGGUUGCCAUGACGAUAGAAGUACAUAAACUACUUGUCAAAUACAUCAAGUUUGACUUUUUUUGUGGAUUGAAAUAAUUAGUAAAUUUGUAAAGAUCUAUCCUCACAUUGGCCAAUGUAUUUACACUGUAAAUGUGUAAACAAAUAUUUAAAACAUGAAUGGCCGACGAAAAUCUGGACAGCUGUCAGCUUCAACUCAGCAACUAACUUGUUCUAAUCUAUAUUUUUUUUAUUCGAUUUAUUAUCUAUUGACCGGGACAGUGAGUCACAUUUCAGAAUUAGAGCUCAUAUUGUUCUUUGGUCUCUGGGCAGGUUAUUCAAAAUUAGCAAUCUAAUACUAUUUGAACAAUUUAACAGCAAACACUAUAGUACAACACACUACUAUACAAUACAGUAAAAUAACAGCAGUACCAGAGAUGAGGUCGUUUAUGAAUACAUACGUCAAAACAUUAACACACAUUCAGAGAUAUCCGCACGUUGUCACAUUUAUGACACAUUUAGAUCUUCUACUACAUGUCUACACUCUCAGUACAGAUUUGUUCUGUAUAUGUAUGAAUCAUAUUCCGCUCAUACCGCACUGGACUCAUACUUUGCUGAUCACUGGAGUAUUGAGAAUUAAUUCUGCCCCCUAACAAGAACAAAGAAAGCUUGACUCCUGUCAUGUUUGUUUGUUUCAGGGUUUUAUUUGUCCAUCUUGUUUCCGUAAUGGGAGUCAUCGUUGACAUAUGACACUGCCAUGUCCUUUUUCUCCUGUAGGUGUCCCUGCAAACCCAAUCCAUGCUGCGAAGGAGAGUCACACACGGGAUGAAUCACACAGCUCAACAACCGUUAGCCGACAUUAUUGUGCCUGCAGCAUGAGUCAACAUACACAUGGAUAUGAAAUACAUGUGUUUCUCUGCAUCACAACCAGUGUGUUUACUAAAGUCAGGGAUGAGUAAGACUCAUCCCUGACUUUAGUUGGGUUGAAGGGAACAGGGAGACAGAGACAGGGAAAGGAAUGGGAAACAAUGAACAUUGCUUUAAAUAAGCUUAUAAACCCUGAUUGUUUCAUAAAACCAAGCUCUGAUGUUUGUGUUUCUGGAAAUGUGUGUGUGUGUGUGUGUGUGUGUGUCUGUGUGUGUGUGUGUGUGUGUGUGUGUGUGUGUGUGUGUGUGUGUGUGUGUGUGUGUGUGUGUUUGUGUGUGUGUGUGCGUGUGUAUGUGUGAGUGUGUGUCAUUUGGUGCUGCUGCUAACUGAUAUGUCAGAAAAUCAAUUAAUUACUUUUAAGCGGCAGCUAACUGCAUCCCCGCAAUACACCCCAUGAAUUAUAGACGAAGUAUGUGUGUGUGUGUGUGUGUGUGUGUGUGUGUGUGUAUGUGUGUGUGUGUGUGUGUGUGUGUGUGUGUGUGUGGUACAAUCGGUUGCUCUGUUAACUAGAGACAAUUGCUAACUUCUCCGUCAUUGAUCAACUGAUGAGAGUGCUCCGAUACAAAUCUACUGAGCUCUGAAGUGUCUGAACUGGCUCAUCAAUGUUUGCUUCUAUGGUGUGUGUGUGUGUGUGUGUCUGUGUGUGUGUGUGUGUGUGUGUGUGUGUGUGUGUGUGUGUGUCUGUGUCUGUGUGUGUGUGUGUGUGUAAUUCAAAAUAAGAACAAGGAAACCCUUUACACUUUCGUUGAUAUUAAAUUACAUUGACUAUAUGCCACAUUUGACUACAAGUCUUUUGUUAUAAAUUAUGAUUACCAUCAUAAAAAGCUCUUAAAAAUCAUGAAACUAUAAAAAUGUUGAUAUCACAUUGAAAACCACAAUUAAUGAAAGUUAAUUUGAGUAAAUUAGGGGAACCCUUAAAUAUGAGAGACCACAACCGUUGACACAAUGAGCCAGAUGAUACAGAUAUUAGUCAAAUCAACCCUUUCAUUGCAAAUUC